rnacentral:rRNA from 1 species
CAACGUAGGUAAUCUACCUUUGGAUGGGGAAUAACAAUCGGAAACGGUUGCUAAUACCGCAUAAUGCAGCGGCACCUAAUGGUGACAGUUGUUAAAGCGGGGGAUCGAAAGACCUCGCGUCUAAAGAGGAGCCUGCGGCGGAUUAGCUUGUUGGUAAGGUAACGGCUUACCAAGGCGACGAUCCGUAGCCGGCCUGAGAGGGCGGUCGGUCACACUGACACUGACAUACGGGUCAG